rnacentral:rRNA from 1 species
UGGUUUUCCAGGCAAAUCCGGAAAAUCAAGGCUGAGGCGUGACGACGAGGCACUACGGUGCUGAAGCAACAAAUGCCCUGCUUCCAGGAAAAGCCUCUAAGCAUCAGGUAACAUCAAAUCGUACCCCAAACCGACACAGGUGGUCAGGUAGAGAAUACCAAGGCGCUUGAGAGAACUCGGGUGAAGGAACUAGGCAAAAUGGUGCCGUAACUUCGGGAGAAGGCACGCUGACAUGUAGGUGAAGUGAUUUACUCAUGGAGCUGAAGUCAGUCGAAGAUACCAGCUGGCUGCAACUGUUUAUUAAAAACACAGCACUGUGCAAACACGAAAGUGGACGUAUACGGUGUGACGCCUGCCCGGUGCCGGAAGGUUAAUUGAUGGGGUCAGCGCAAGCGAAGCUCCUGAUCGAAGCCCCGGUAAACGGCGGCCGUAACUAUAACGGUCCUAAGGUAGCGAAAUUCCUUGUCGGGUAAGUUCCGACCUGCACGAAUGGCGUAAUGAUGGCCAGGCUGUCUCCACCCGAGACUCAGUGAAAUUGAACUCGCUGUGAAGAUGCAGUGUACCCGCGGCAAGACGGAAAGACCCCGUGAACCUUUACUAUAGCUUGACACUGAACAUUGAGCCUUGAUGUGUAGGAUAGGUGGGAGGCUUUGAAGUGUGGACGCCAGUCUGCAUGGAGCCGACCUUGAAAUACCACCCUUUAAUGUUUGAUGUUCUAACGUGGACCCGUAAUCCGGGUUGCGGACAGUGUCUGGUGGGUAGUUUGACUGGGGCGGUCUCCUCCUAAAGAGUAACGGAGGAGCACGAAGGUUGGCUAAUCCUGGUCGGACAUCAGGAGGUUAGUGCAAUGGCAUAAGCCAGCUUGACUGCGAGCGUGACGGCGCGAGCAGGUGCGAAAGCAGGUCAUAGUGAUCCGGUGGUUCUGAAUGGAAGGGCCAUCGCUCAACGGAUAAAAGGUACUCCGGGGAUAACAGGCUGAUACCGCCCAAGAGUUCAUAUCGACGGCGGUGUUUGGCACCUCGAUGUCGGCUCAUCACAUCCUGGGGCUGAAGUAGGUCCCAAGGGUAUGGCUGUUCGCCAUUUAAAGUGGUACGCGAGCUGGGUUUAGAACGUCGUGAGACAGUUCGGUCCCUAUCUGCCGUGGGCGCUGGAGAACUGAGGGGGGCUGCUCCUAGUACGAGAGGACCGGAGUGGACGCAUCACUGGUGUUCGGGUUGUCAUGCCAAUGGCACUGCCCGGUAGCUAAAUGCGGAAGAGAUAAGUGCUGAAAGCAUCUAAGCACGAAACUUGCCCCGAGAUGAGUUCUCCCUGAGACUUAGAGUCUCCUGAAGGAACGUUGAAGACGACGACGUUGAUAGGCCGGGUGUGUAAGCGCAGCGAUGCGUUGAGCUAACCGGUACUAAUGAACCGUGAGGCUUAACCUUACAACGCCGAAG